rnacentral:rRNA from 1 species
UUACCCCGCGGAAAAUUAGCAUAUCAGUAAGCGGAGGAAAAGAAACUAACCAGGAUUCUCUCAGUAACGGCGAGUGAACGAGGGAUUAGCCCAUCACCGAAGUCUAUUCACUGUUGUGGACAGGACAAUGUGGUGUUCGGGCGUGCACCUGGGAGCGCUUGCCUACUCGAAGUCCAACUCCGAUUAUGGCUAGGACCAUGCCCAGAGCGGGUGAAAGGCCCGUUCGGGUAGGUUGUUGUUAUUUGAAGCGCUCCUUAGAUGUGCAUGCUCUCGAGUCGGAUUGCUUGAGAAUGCAGUCCAAAGUGGGUGGUAAACUCCAUCCAAGGCUAAAUACUGGCACGAGUCCGAUAGUAGACAAGUACCGUGAGGGAAAGUUGAAAAGUACUCUGAAGAGAGAGUAAAUAGCACGUGAAGCCGCUUGCAGGGAAGCUGGUGGAGUCAAGCUUCAUGUCAGGGGAAUUGUCUUCCGGACCAUCGUUGUUGUUUGGAACGUGAUAUCGGUGAGCCUGUAAAGGGUUCGAUGCAUCUCGGUGCAUACCAAGUCGCUCUGGUGAGGGCGUUUGGACUGGUGUCUAUCUCCCUGGUCCGGUGGCUUUAUUCCCAUUGGGAUACAUCACGGUCAAUAAUGGUUCGUGCUGUGUGAACGCUUAACUGUGCUUUGGAGGGCAUUCGUGUCUUCCGGGUGCGGAAUGGCAGGUGGCUUGUGCGGGCACUCGUGCUCGUAUCUUGCUUAUUGUGGAUUUUGAUCUGCUAGCGUUCAUGUGUGCAUUUAACAGUAUCGGCCUUAUUGUUGCUCUUGCGGGGCUCACUCUUCGCGAGUGGGUCUCAUUGAGAACCGUGAUGCUGAGGUAGACUUUCCACCCGACCCGUCUUGAACCACCCGGACCAAA